UACGGGGGGGGCAAGCGUUGUUCGGAAUUACUGGGCGUAAAGGGCUCGUAGGCGGCCAACUAAGUCAUACGUGAAAUCCCUCGGCUUAACCGGGGAACUGCGUCUGAUACUGGAUGGCUUGAGAUUGGGAGAGGGAUGCGGAAUUCCAGGUGUAGCGGUGAAAUGCGUAGAUAUCGUAAGGAAGACCAGUGGCGAAGGCGAGUUUCUGGACGGUAACUGACGCUGAGGCACGAAGGCCAGGGGAGCAAACGGG
rnacentral:rRNA from 1 species